rnacentral:rRNA from 1 species
GCUGGAGGUAUCAGAAGUGCGAAUGCUGACAUAAGUAACGAUAAAGCGGGUGAAAAGCCCGCUCGCCGGAAGACCAAGGGUUCCUGUCCAACGUUAAUCGGGGCAGGGUGAGUCGACCCCUAAGGCGAGGCCGAAAGGCGUAGUCGAUGGGAAACGGGUUAAUAUUCCCGUACUUGGUGUUACUGCGAAGGGGGGACGGAGAAGGCUAUGUUGGCCGGGCGACGGUUGUCCCGGUUUAAGCGUGUAGGUGUGUGUUCCAGGUAAAUCCGGUUCACUUUAACACUGAGGCGUGAUGACGAGGCACUACGGUGCUGAAGCAACAAAUGCCCUGCUUCCAGGAAAAGCCUCUAAGCAUCAGGUAACAUCAAAUCGUACCCCAAACCGACACAGGUGGUCAGGUAGAGAAUACCAAGGCGCUUGAGAGAACUCGGGUGAAGGAACUAGGCAAAAUGGUGCCGUAACU